rnacentral:lncRNA from 1 species
UUCUCCCAUUUUGCAGUGAUGAUCUGAUACGUGCAGAUUGAAGCCAGUACUCUAUACGUGUUCAUGUAGCUUGUUUUGUGGUGGAUCUCGCUGCUACCUGAUUUACUACUUGAGGAUUAUGUUUUAAAGUAUCUUGUUUAUAGUGUAAACUGUAAAUUUGACUGUACUUCUAUGGAGCCUGAACUAUAAACAUACAAAUUUUUCCACCAUUAGUUAAGGUUACCACACAUGUAAUACUGAAUCCUACCAGCCAUAAUACGCCUACGCAAACUAUAUUGGUGAUGAAAGAGUAAUUUUUUUCAUCUUAUAAAUCUCACAAUGCAACAAAUGAGGAAUAGCGACAGAAUAAAUAAAGUCUUAGUGUUGUAA